GCUUAGAGUGAAAAUAGUAGUAUAAUAUUGUAUUUAGGCUAGGAACAUGGGACAUCCUCAAAGGGAGAUCACUUAAUUAAGGGUGUGCUUAACCAAAUAAAAUUAAUUAAAUAAUGUAACAAAAAAACUUAUUUUAAAAUUGAUUCCAAAAAAAAAAAGAAACACAAAAUACAAUUGGAAAUUUGUAUGAAACAAACAUAUUAUUU
rnacentral:lncRNA from 1 species